rnacentral:rRNA from 1 species
AGAGUUUGAUCCUGGCUCAGGAUGAACGCUAGCGAUAGGCUUAACACAUGCAAGUCGAGGGGCAGCAUUAUUUUAGCUUGCUAAGAUAGAUGGCGACCGGCGCACGGGUGCGUAACGCGUAUGCAACCUGCCUGUAAUUAGGGAAUAACCCGGUGAAAGUCGGACUAAUACCCUAUAUUCUUCUUUCUCCGCAUGGGGGAGGACGGAAAGAUUUAUUGAUUACAGAUGGGCAUGCGUCCCAUUAGCUAGUUGGUAAGGUAACGGCUUACCAAGGCAACGAUGGGUAGGGGGACUGAGAGGUUGACCCCCCACACUGGUACUGAGACACGGACCAGACUCCUACGGGAGGCAGCAGUGAGGAAUAUUGGUCAAUGGGCGAGAGCCUGAACCAGCCAAGUCGCGUGAAGGACGACGGUUCUAUGGAUUGUAAACUUCUUUUGUAGAGGAAUAACGGCAGCUACGUGUAGCUGAGAUGCAUGUACUCUACGAAUAAGUAUCGGCUAACUCCGUGCCAGCAGCCGCGGUAAUACGGAGGAUACGAGCGUUAUCCGGAAUUAUUGGGUUUAAAGGGUGCGUAGGUGGCGUAUUAAGUCAGUGGUGAAAAGCUGCAGCUCAACUGUAGUCUUGCCGUUGAAACUGAUAUGCUAGAGAGGAGACGAGGUAUGCGGAAUGUGUGGUGUAGCGGUGAAAUGCAUAGAUAUCACACAGAACGCCGAUUGCGAAGGCAGCGUACCAGGCUCCGUCUGACACUGAAGCACGAAAGCGUGGGGAUCAAACAGGAUUAGAUACCCUGGUAGUCCACGCAGUAAACGAUGAAUACUAGAUUUUUGCGAUAUAGUGUAAGAGUCUAAGCGAAAGCGAUAAGUAUUCCACCUGGGGAGUACGCCGGCAACGGUGAAACUCAAAGGAAUUGACGGGGGCCC